rnacentral:rRNA from 1 species
GACGAACGCUGGCGGCGUGCCUAAUACAUGCAAGUCGAACGCAGUGGGGACGGGUGAGGAACACGUGCCUAACCUCCCAUCAGAGGGGAUAACACUUGGAAACAGGUGCUAAACCGAUACUGAUGGAUGAACCCGCUGUGCAUUAGCUAGUUGGUGAGGUAACGGCUCACCAAGGCCACGAUGCAUAGGCGACGUGCGUGGGUGAUCGGCCACACUGGGACUGAUACACGGCCCAGACUCCUACGGGAGGCAGCGGUAGGGAAUCUGCGGCAAUGGACGAAAGUCUGACCGAGCAACGCCGCGUGAGUGAAGAAGGUUUUCGGAUCGUAAACCUCUGUUGUUGGAGAAGCGGUAUCUAACCAGAAGGCCACGGCUAACUCCGUGCCAGCCGCCGCGGUAAUUC